rnacentral:lncRNA from 1 species
CAAGAAGUUCCUGUGGGAGGAGUUGGAGCUGGUGCGGGAGGAGGUGACCUUCAUCUACCAGAAGCUGUAGGCCAAGGAGGACGGGAUCGCAGAGAACCUCUCAAACAUCCAGAAGAUGCAGCGAACGCAGGUGAAGGGUCGCGGUGGAGGUAAGGGGACCCUGCAGGAGGUGGCGGGGGAGUCUCCGCCAGCCUGCACCAUCAGACCGCAGGCCGGGCUCAACCCCCAGCCCUGCCACCCAGCGCUGUGCGACCCCGGGCAAGUCACUUUGCCUCUCUGGGGCUCAGUGCAUUUGUCUGGAUAAUGGGUAGAAUGGAGACGCUCCCUUCCUGACUGAGCAGCUUGCUUAACUGAGGGCUUGACUGCCGCCUGGUGUAGAGUAAGUGCUGCACGCAGUGGGCACCGUCCACCAUCGUCGUGUUUGUGGCUGAUUUCUCAUCCCCCCGGGCCCCAGGUCCUGACAAAGAUGCAGCAGCAGCAGCAGCAGCAGCAGCAGGGAUAUGAGCCAUCUGCCUGUCCCGAGGCCGAGGAGGCAGUGCCAGGAAGCGACGGCUGGAAGGACGACCUCCAGAAAGAACUGAGUGACAUAUGGUCCGCCAUCCGCGGGCUGCAGAAUUCCAUUGAUGGUCUUACCAUGUCCUCAGAGGCGCCCCGCGCGGCCUCCAGCCUCAGGGGCCACAGGGGACACCGGUGCCUGAGCCCUGGGCUCCCUUCCUGGGACACAGAGCCCCAUUGGGACCCGCCGCCUUUCAGCAAGAACGGUGCCUUCCCUUCCGGUGGGGUUCCUCCCCGGCCCCCACGACCCUUCCCCUCCUGGCCUGCCCUGCCUGAGCGUUCUGAUGUCCCCCGGGUCCGGCCAGGCCCUGAUCACCUUCUCUCUCCACAGCUUGAGCAGCCGGGGGCUGCUCGUCCUGAAGAGCCCUCCAGAGAGAAAAUAAACUCCUCACCCCGGACUCCUCUGCUCCCGCUGCUUCCGUACUGGGAACCCCCCUCACCCCUAAGUUACUCCUGGGGCCAGGGCAGGUGCAGAGACCCCAGAGAGUCGUCGGGUCGGGGGACAGCGUGAGGCCAGAUUUAGUGAGGACAAGGUCGAGGGCCAGUCUGUCCAGGCAGGAGGGCUUUCUCUUUGGUGGCGGGAGGGUGCCCUGGGGGAUCUGAUCAUCAGCAACCGAUACAUAGCCAAGUAGGAAAACGGGCCCAGGGAAAGGAGAGCCGGAGGCUCCGCGUGGAGCUGGGAACCUCCGCCCUUCCCUAGGACCCUCCAUUCUCGUUCCCGGAGAAUCUGUGCUAACUCGCCCCGCCUCCAACACAAGAGGCCCCGCCCCGAUAUGCUAAUAUGAGCGGCGAGUCCCCGCCUUA